CCUCCACCGAACACAACACACACCAGUACUAGUCCACCAAGAACAGAACACACGUACAUGUCUUCUCUCCCUCCUAUUCCUCUGCUCCUAAACUAGCCAGACCGGCCAUGCCGCCGGUGACGGGGAAACAUGCUGCUCCGCCGCUGCCGGACCUUCCACCCUCUCUCUCUCCCCUGAUCCAAAUCCCUAUUUUUUUUUCAGGAUUCAGCCCCAAACUCUCUAAUCCCCUCUCAGAUUUGACUUGCAGGUGAGGCUCUUAUUGGGCUUUGAUUUCGCUGCUCCAGAUCGAAGCUCCCGGCGUUGGCGGCCGCGGUGCGCUGGGUGUUGCAGAUCAGAGUUCAAAGGCAUAGCCAUGGAGCAUAUCGAGCAUAAGUGCAGAUAGAAAGACUAAGACAGUGGGAGGAAGACAAGUUGCUGGUUUGGCUUUUUGGGGAAGAAUGGAGACGACGUGUGAAGUCUUGGCAAUGGCUUGCUCUGCUCUCUCUCCUUUUAAUAUCAGAAAACCCUCUUCCUUGGCUGGUAUGGCUGCCCAUCCCUUCUUUACCGUGUUGCCUUUGUGGAGCCUUUCUUCCUUGGCUGGUAUGGCUGCCCAUCCCUUCUUUACCGUGUUGCCUUUGUGGAGCCUUUCUAUUGGCUAGGAGUUGCAGCCCAUGCCUAGACCAACUGUUGGUCAAUUGACUACUGAUAUACAUAUUAUGCACGUGAUGGUGGUGGUCAAAUGUGUAUCUCAAAUGUGUCUUGCUGUCCUGGUUGACCCAGAGAUAUUUUUUUGUUGGUCUAAGUUUGAUGUGGCAUUGUUGUUUAGCUUAGCAUAGUCUGGUCUCCCUAUAUUUUUUUUGUUUCCAAAGAUUUGUAAUAUAACUGUACAACUAUACUGUUUGAGAUGUGUGAAUAUAAAUAUAUAUUUGAGUGGUUA